rnacentral:RNase_P_RNA from 1 species
AAGCCAUGCGGCCGCGUGCGGGGCCGAGUUUUCGGUCAUCCGCAUGAGGAAAGUCCGGGCUCCGCAGGGCAGGGUGCCGGAUAACGUCCGGCGGGGGCGACCCCAGGGAUAGUGCAACAGAGAUAUACCGCCGCGCCUAUGCGCGGUAAGGAUGGAAAGGCGAGGUAAGAGCUCACCGGCGGGGCGGGUAACCGUUCCGUCCUGUAAACCCCACCCGGUGCAAGAUUGGAAUGGGAGCGCGUGCGAUUUUUUCGCAGAAAUGGCUGCCCGUCAGGCUCCUGAUAAUCGCGCGAGCGCGGCGGCGACGCCGCGCCAAGAUAGAUGGCCGCACGCCGAUGCAUAUCGGCCGACAGAACCCGGCUUAUUGCUU